GUGCUUUCUUUGGCAGCAGAUAUACUAAAAUUGGAACGAUACAGAGAUUAGCAUGGCCCCUGCGCAAGGAUGACAUGCAAAUUCAUGAAGCGUUCCAUAUUUUU
ensembl:snRNA U6 U6 spliceosomal RNA